GUGAGGAAUUUUCCGCAAUGGGCGAAAGCCUGACGGAGCAAUGCCGCGUGAAGGAUGAAGGCCUAUGGGUUGUAAACUUCUUUUCUCAGAAAAGAAUUAUGACGGUAUCUGAGGAAUAAGCAUCGGCUAACUCUGUGCCAGCAGCCGCGGUAAGACAGAGGAUGCAAGCGUUAUCCGGAAUGAUUGGGCGUAAAGCGUCUGUAGGUUGUUUAAAAAGUAUUCUGUCAAAGAUUAGGGCUUAACCCUAGAUAGGCAGAAUAAACUUUUAAGCUAGAGUUUGGUAGAGGCAGAGGGAAUUCCCGGUGGAGCGGUGAAAUGCGUAGAUAUCGGGAGGAACACCAAAGGCGAAGGCACUCUGCUGGGCCAAUACUAACACUGAGAGACGAAAGCGAGGGGAGCAAAUGGGAUUAGAAACCCGAGUAGCC
rnacentral:rRNA from 1 species